UACGUAGGGUGCAAGCGUUGUCCGGAAUUAUUGGGCGUAAAGCGCACGUAGGCGGUAUCGCAAGUCCCAUGUGAAAGCCCACGGCUUAACCGUGGAAGUGCAUGGGAAACUGCAGUACUUGAGUACUUAAGAGGAUCGCGGAAUUCCCGGUGUAGAGGUGAAAUUCGUAGAUAUCAAGCGGAACACCGGUGGCGAAGGCGGCCUUCUGGACGAUGACUGACGCUGAGACGCGAAAGCGUGGGGAGCAAACAGG
rnacentral:rRNA from 1 species